GUAGGUGGCAAGCGUUGUCCGGAAUUAUUGGGCGUAAAGCGCGCGCAGGCGGUUCUUUAAGUCUGAUGUGAAAGCCCACGGCUCAACCGUGGAGGGUCAUUGGAAACUGGAGAACUUGAGUACAGAAGAGGAAAGCGGAAUUCCACGUGUAGCGGUGAAAUGCGUAGAGAUGUGGAGGAACACCAGUGGCGAAGGCGGCUUUCUGGGCUGUAACUGACGCUGAGGCGCGAAAGCGUGGGGAGCAAACAGGAUUAGAUACCCUGGUAGUCCACGCCGUAAACGAUGAGUGCUAAGUGUUAGGGGGUUUCCGCCCCCCUUAGUGCUGCAGCUAACGCAUUAAGCACUCCGCCUGGGAGUACGGCCGCAAGGCUG
rnacentral:rRNA from 1 species